rnacentral:rRNA from 1 species
AUUGAACGCUGGCGGCAUGCCUUACACAUGCAAGUCGAACGGUAACAGGUCUUCGGAUGCUGACGGGUGGCGAACGGGUGAGUAAUACAUCGGAACGUGCCUAGUAGUGGGGGAUAACUACUCGAAAGAGUGGCUAAUACCGCAUGAGAUCUACGGAUGAAAGCAGGGGAUCGCAAGACCUUGUGCUACUCGAGCGGCCGAUGGCAGAUUAGGUAGUUGGUGGGAUAAAAGCUUACCAAGCCGACGAUCUGUAGCUGGUCUGAGAGGACGAUCAGCCACACUGGGACUGAGACACGGCCCAGACUCCUACGGGAGGCAGCAGUGGGGAAUUUUGGACAAUGGGCGCAAGCCUGAUCCAGCAAUGCCGCGUGCAGGAUGAAGGCCUUCGGGUUGUAAACUGCUUUUGUACGGAACGAAAAGCCCCGGGUUAAUACCCUGGGGUCAUGACGGUACCGUAAGAAUAAGCACCGGCUAACUACGUGCCAGCCGCCGCAGUAA